rnacentral:lncRNA from 10 species
AGUACCUGGGGCUGCAUAUAUCUCAGCUCUCUUUUCCUCCUGGGCAAUUUCCAUUUUCUAAACCGAGGUCCUGCUUUUUCAGCAAGGAAACUGUGCUAAAUGCUCCCGCAUCAGCGAGGUGGCCCAGGGGCCGGUUAGAGACUGGGAAGGACGACAGAGGCAAGACACGCAGCGAGUGCUCUCGCGAGAGUUCACCGAGUUGAUAAAAUUAUUAAAACACAAAAUACACAUUUCUGUCCCUUCAGGCUGCGCAACGCUGGAGGGCGAUGGGAGCUCCACACAGGUCCAUGUACUUUACCUUUCCCUGCACCUCUGCUUGUCUGAGAGGUCUCAAGAUCAUCAUUUGGGACCUCCAUUUCUGCUGGGUCUGUCAUCUUAGAUCGCCUUGAUCUUGAGCAUCUUUGUGAAGUUGAACAGGGGAAUGGGCAGAUCACCAGAGCCACAGAAAACCACUCACCCUGCCAAUGGAGGCCCUCCUGCAAAGAUGCCAGUCUUCUCUUUGCUAACACGUGGCUUCUGCAUCAAUCAACCUUCCUCCUCAGUGCUGCCUCACCACCCCAAUGCGUGAAUCACUGCCAGGGAUCUUUACUUGCACUUGUUCCUCAAUCACCACCCUUCCUGUCACCUAAUCUAAUUCCACAUACCCAUCAAAUUCUGCCUUAAACAUCCCCCAUUCUAUUAAGAAGAAGAUGUCUUCAGCUCCUGCCUGCACUGACGUUUGGCAUCCAAACUCCUAUUGUUACGAUUCCAUCUCCAUUCUGGAUCUUCUAGGAAUCUAAAAAUGUGUGUGAGAUUUCACCUGUAAAAGCUGAGUUAUUCUGAAUCUGCGUUUUCCUGAAGAUUUUUCUUUGUGUGGUCAGCCUUCUUGGAAAAAUCCAGAAGCCACCAUCAACUUACAACCCUGCAUGAAUAAAUGUAAUGUUUCGUUUGGAGAUUGAGAGCUGAUAUAUAGGACAAGGAUAACUUGCUGAGAGUAGGGUUUGUGUCAUUGCAAGUUGCUGCGGCAGCUGCAGGCAGGGUUAAGAGACCCCAGACAGCACCGACCCCUCCAGAAAACGUGCGCAGAGGAGACCUGAACAAUUGAGUGGAAACAAGGGGUGAGGAUAAUAAAUUCAGAUUA